rnacentral:ncRNA from 1 species
GAUAACACGUUGAUGAGGACAGUAAGCUAAAAUCUUAUUUUCAGAGAGAGAAUAUGCUGGUGUGAUUAUUCUUAAAUAAAUUUAGUCUGAAAACCACCUCUGAGUGGCUCUAAUAAAGCCCGUUUUUAUCACGUUACGAUAAAUUUAAGUGACCUAAUAUAGUUAUAUUAUUUUAGGUAAUUAGAGUGGAACCACGGAUAUUACUUCGUCUCUAUA